GGGGAUGUAGAUCAGUGGUAGAGCGUUCUCUUUGCAUGAUUAAGGUCUCGAGUUCAAUUCCCGAUAUCUCCA